UGACCAUAAAACUUGUUUGGGUACAUCCCGUUCAUGUACCCAUGAGUUGAUCCCGUGCCAGAGAUUAGACCAGGGUGAUGCAAUCCCAUAUAACUGGAAUUUUGCCGGAAACUAUGGUUCCUCGGAUAUGGAAUAUUAUUAGACUUCAAAACUGAAGAAGCAACGCCAGUGCCUCUGUACUUCCCGUCAAAGCCAAAUCUUGGAUCCUGAUAAUCAGCAGCAGGUAUACCUCCCGGCAAAAUACCCCUUCCAUUUGUAUUAUUUAAAUUCAACAAUGAAUUUUGAUAUGUUGGCUUAGUGGGAAUUGAACCAUUGUUUGCCUUCUUUCGUGCACCACUAACAAUGGCACUAGAAUUCACUUUGGUGGCUUCUGCCAGCGAAGACUUUUGGUCAGCAGGGACAGUGGGGGGAGUAAGCUCCCCUUGAGACGAUACAGCCUGACUUGGAGUGAAUGAUUCACCAUUAGGUGUUAGCGGCUGGAAAUAAGCAGGAUACUGGUA
rnacentral:misc_RNA from 1 species